UCGCCGCCGGGGUCUAUCACCCCCGCCCCUCGCCUCUGCCCGUGAGCGUGUGAGUUGUAGCGUACCCUGGGGUCUGUUCUGGAGGAGGCCUGAGAGCGGGGUUGCCUGGGGCGUGGGUCUCUCAUCCCUCUCGUCCUGGUGAAGAAGAAGAGUAUACCCAGCGGCAGCUGGCUUGGCUUUUUCAGAGGAAACAGAGACUCUCAGACAUGAAUACUGUGACACUGACCACCAGGCCAACUUAACAUCAGCAGAUAUCCUGUCUCAGAUGAAGAGAAUGGCCUGUCCAGAAGACAGCCAAAUACAUCCUUCAAACAGACUUCACUGCAGGAGACAGAGUGGAUUCAUCCUGUAUUCUCCAUGUAGACUUCCAUCUUCAUGAGUACUCCAAGAAGAUGGUUCAGUUGACUAUUGCAAAGGUAAAAAUCCAAGAGAUACAGAUACAGAAUAGGACAGAGAGACAUAUUUUUAAGCUAUUGAUUACAAUUAUGGUAUGCCUAUAGAUUGCAGAACCGAGGAGAAAGGGAACAUUAUGAUUUACCAUCAAGAAAAACUUAGAAUUGGUGCUGAGUAGUUCAUUCUA
rnacentral:lncRNA from 1 species